rnacentral:misc_RNA from 1 species
UUGCUUUAAUAUUAUCAUAGCCUGAAAGUUGGUUCUUUUUGGAUAAAGCAUCGAAGGAUUCUUUACUAUGUUGUUGCCAAUUGACGUAUGGUAGUUUUAGGGUCAUAAAGAGGUUAGCUUUCUUUAUAAAUUUUCCUGUACUCGCUAUCGUUUGAAGAAUUAAUGAUAAUUUAAAUUAUAAUUACUCUUAACUAAAUUUGAUACUAAUGUUGAUUUCAAAUAAUCUUUAUUUUGCAUUUAUUUGUUGGUUAUUGGAUAGAAAAUUAAUGACUUUAACAUUAUGACAUAUGCAUUAUCAAAUUUAUCCCUGAAGAGGUCACCAGAAAAUUUGAAACUAAAGAUUUAAAUAAAGGUGGAAACAGAAAAUGAGCAGAAAAAGUAACAAAGAAGAAAAGCAGAGAGGUGAUACGGUCCAAGAAGCAUUUCAAGAAGAUAACAUUCGCUUUACAGUGCAAAAGAAAGAGACAGAAGGAACAAAGUCUGAUAGAAAUAGACCAGGGGUUAGCUUCUAAUGGGACCUUAGGAUUGUCUCAAGUAAACUUCGCCUUCUUCACCUUCUGAUGUUCAUGCUACUGCUGAAAAAUGUUGAUUGGUGAAAGAACAGCAGAAGUUUUAUGCAAAAUGUCAGAGCAUAAUGUGUGUGCUUGCUAAAGCAGAGGCAUUCACAAUCACAAAUCCAUGCUCAUAAGACACUUAAAACAUCAGGGCUGAUUUCCUGUUUUUUGUCCUCCCACAUCCACUGGGAGACCCUUCUUAUUAUAUGCUCACUUUCAUUCUUUGUGGAGAUUUUCUUGCUUUUUCUUUUUGUGAAAAUUGAUCGUACAAAAUUUUCUUCAAGAAAAGAAACUUAAGUUCUGAGAAGAUAACCCGAUGAGUCUAUGACUAUCAACAUGAGGAUUAAAACAAAUUUCCACAG